ensembl:misc_RNA Metazoa_SRP Metazoan signal recognition particle RNA
GCUGGGCGUGGUGGUGCACGCCUGUAAACCUAGCUCCUUGGGAGGCUGAGGCAGGAGAAUCACUUGAACCCGGGAGGUGGAGGUUCCUGUGAGCGGAGAUCACGCCAUUACACUCCAGCCUGGGCAACAAGAGCAAAACUCCGUCUCAAAAAAAGAAAAAAAUUUUGUCUUGAUUUUCUUUUUUUUUUCUGGAGACGGAGUCUCAGUCUCUCACUCUGUCGCCCAGGCUGGAGUGCAGUGGAGUGAUCUCAGCUCACAGCAACCUCCACCUCCCGGGUUCAAGCGAUUCUCCUGCCUCGG